GGAGUUAGGAAAUGUAGGUGCGAUAAUACCGUGCCUAUUUGACAAAGGCUCCGAAGGAAGCCACGGCUAACUCUGUGCCAGCAGCCGCGGUAAUACAGAGGUGGCAAGCGUUGUUCGGAAUUAUUGGGCGUAAAGAGCACGUAGGUGGAUUUGUUAGUCAGAUGUGAAAGCCUUUCGUUCAACGGAAGAAUUGCAUCUGAAACUACAAACCUU
rnacentral:rRNA from 1 species